rnacentral:tRNA from 1 species
GAGUGCGUGGUUCGGGAGAGCGCUUGCAUGGCAUGCAAGAGGUCAGCGGUUCGAUCCCGCUAUUCUCC